rfam:Aedes aegypti strain Liverpool supercont1.86 genomic scaffold, whole genome shotgun sequence.
GGCUCGAUAGCUUAGUUGGUAAAGCGCUCGUCUAGCAUACAAGAGUUCUUGGUUCAAAUCCCAGCCAAGCAC